AGUGAGCGCUGGCGGUAAGCCUAACACAUGCAAGUCGAACGGCAGCACAGUAAGAGCUUGCUCUUACGGGUGGCGAGUGGCGGACGGGUGAGGAAUACAUCGGAAUCUACUUUUUCGUGGGGGAUAACGUAGGGAAACUUACGCUAAUACCGCAUACGACCUACGGGUGAAAGCAGGGGAUCUUCGGACCUUGCGCGAUUGAAUGAGCCGAUGUCGGAUUAGCUAGUUGGCGGGGUAAAGGCCCACCAAGGCGACGAUCCGUAGCUGGUCUGAGAGGAUGAUCAGCCACACUGGAACUGAGACACGGUCCAGACUCCUACGGGAGGCAGCAGUGGGGAAUAUUGGACAAUGGGCGCAAGCCUGAUCCAGCCAUACCGCGUGGGUGAAGAAGGCCUUCGGGUUGUAAAGCCCUUUUGUUGGGAAAGAAAAGCAGCAGGUUAAUACCCCGCUGUUCUGACGGUACCCAAAGAAUAAGCACCGGCUAACUUCGUG
rnacentral:rRNA from 1 species